GACGAACGCUGGCGGCGUGCCUAAUACAUGCAAGUAGAACGCACAGUUUAUACCGUAGCUUGCUACACCAUAGACUGUGAGUUGCGAACGGGUGAGUAACGCGUAGGUAACCUGCCUGGUAGCGGGGGAUAACUAUUGGAAACGAUAGCUAAUACCGCAUAAUAUUAAUUAUUGCAUGAUAAUUAAUUGAAAGGUGCAAUUGCACCACUACCAGAUGGACCUGCGUUGUAUUAGCUAGUAGGUGAGGUAACGGCUCACCUAGGCGACGAUACAUAGCCGACCUGAGAGGGUGAUCGGCCACACUGGGACUGAGACACGGCCCAGACUCCUACGGGAGGCAGCAGUAGGGAAUCUUCGGCAAUGGACGAAAGUCUGACCGAGCAACGCCGCGUGAGUGAAGAAGGGUUUCGGAUCGUAAAGCUCUGUUGUAAGAGAAGAACGGGUGUGAGAGUGGAAAGUUCACACUGUGACGGUAUCUUACCAGAAAGAGACGGCUAACUACGUG
rnacentral:rRNA from 1 species